GAGAAAAGAGGCUUUAAUUGUUGCCUCACACCAAGUGUUAUAGAGGUUAAAACAUUCGAGUCGAAUUCACAAACUACAUAUAACAUUUAGAGCACAACCAAUAUUACAUUGCUUGCCACAGCCAUGGCUUAAGUGGGGAUGUUUCACCACACAAAAUGCAACGUGUAGAUGGCUCGCUACAAGGAAACCUGGUGUAAAGGUAUAACAAUAUGCAACUUCAAAAAUACAAGAACCACACAACUGCUUAAUUUACAGAAGCUGACAUUCUUCCAAUAAACCUAUUGAUAGCAUCAAUCUAUGGCUAUUCUGACAAGCCUACCUCAGUUAUAUCCUUUAUGAGGAGCAUCACGUCACAGGUUUAAAGGAGGCUUCAACUCUUUUCUUGCAGUAGAAAUGGCAGGGUGCCGCAGUUCACUCCUCUGCUCCUUCUAUAAACAGGAGCAAUGUACAAGAAUGGGAGAUGAUUAUAGAAAACAAAAAUGAUUUCCCACUCAUUUAAGCCACAAAAAGAUGCGAAAUGUAACAAAUGAAUGGAAUCUAUUAUACAACUGACAACUUCGAUAAAUAAAUUUGACCUUAUAUAUAUAUAUAUAUAUAUAAGGUCAAAUUUAUUUAUCGAAGUUGUCAGUUGUAUAAUAGAUUCCAUUCAUUUGUUACAUUUCGCAUCUUUUUGUGGCUUAAAUGAGUGGGAAAUCAUUUUUGUUUUCUAUAAUCAUCUCCCAUUCUUGUACAUUGCUCCUGUUUAUAGAAGGAGCAGAGGAGUGAACUGCGGCACCCUGCCAUUUCUACUGCAAGAAAAGAGUUGAAGCCUCCUUUAAACCUGUGACGUGAUGCUCCUCAUAAAGGAUAUAACUGAGGUAGGCUUGUCAGAAUAGCCAUAGAUUGAUGCUAUCAAUAGGUUUAUUGGAAGAAUGUCAGCUUCUGUAAAUUAAGCAGUUGUGUGGUUCUUGUAUUUUUGAAGUUGCAUAUUGUUAUACCUUUACACCAGGUUUCCUUGUAGCGAGCCAUCUACACGUUGCAUUUUGUGUGGUGAAACAUCCCCACUUAAGCCAUGGCUGUGGCAAGCAAUGUAAUAUUGGUUGUGCUCUAAAUGUUAUAUGUAGUUUGUGAAUUCGACUCGAAUGUUUUAACCUCUAUAACACUUGGUGUGAGGCAACAAUUAAAGCCUCUUUUCUC
rnacentral:misc_RNA from 1 species